UACCAACAUUCCUCACGUUUGAAUUUCCUUUCAUCUGUUUUUAGUAUCAGACUACUGUCCCCUGUGCUCAGCCUGAUCCUGUUCCUCAUUACGCUGGAGCUGGUCAACGUUCAUGCUGCUCAUGGGAAGAAUGCGCCUUCAACUUACUGUCUAAUGUCCUUUAAUUUCAACUUGAAGGAGCCCCUUUAGCAGUGCUUGACAAGCAGGACUACUGGACUUUAAAUAUGUCAUCACACUGCCUUCUGACCUCCACAGUUUCUGAGGAGAAACCAGCUGUUAAUCUUACUGAUGUGUUGCUUCUCUCUUCAAAAUUCUCACUUUAUCAUUGUGUUUCAAUGAUUGACUAUAAUGUUCGUCCUUUGAGUGCAUCCUUCUUCAAGGUCACCGACCCUCAUGUAUUUCCUCAGAUUUGGGUGUUUUCAGUCAUUUAAAAAAUAAUUUCUCAUAAAUAAAAACUUUUCUUUCCUGAA